UCAAUACUCCACUGUACACCC
ensembl:piRNA 21ur-1436 ncRNA